rfam:Loxodonta africana unplaced genomic scaffold scaffold_53, whole genome shotgun sequence.
GGCCUGGUGGUGCAGUGGUUAAAGCAUUUGGCUGCUAACCAAAAGGCUGGUGGUUCAAAGCCACCAGCCACUCCA